AUUUGAACGCUGGCGGCAUGCUUUACACAUGCAAGUCGAACGGUAACAGGGAGCUUGCUCCGCUGACGAGUGGCGAACGGGUGAGUAAUGCGUCGGAACGCACCGAGUAAUGGGGGAUAACGCAGCGAAAGCUGUGCUAAUACCGCAUACGCUCUGAGGAGGAAAGCGGGGGAUCUUAGGACCUCGCGUUAUUCGAGCGGCCGACGUCUGAUUAGCUAGUAGGUGAGGUAAGAGCUCACCUAGGCGACGAUCAGUAGCGGGUCUGAGAGGAUGAUCCGCCACACUGGGACUGAGACACGGCCCCAGACUCCUACGGGAGGCAGCAAUGGGGAAUUUUGGACAAUGGGCGCAAGCCUGAUCCAGCCAUGCCGCGUGUCUGAAGAAGG
rnacentral:rRNA from 1 species